AGUGAACGCUGGCGGUAGGCCUAACACAUGCAAGUCGAACGGCAGCACAGUAAGAGCUUGCUCUUACGGGUGGCGAGUGGCGGACGGGUGAGGAAUACAUCGGAAUCUACUUUUUCGCAGGGGAUAACGUAGGGAAACUUACGCUAAUACCGCAUACGACCUACGGGUGAAAGCAGGGGAUCUUCGGACCUUGCGCGAUUGAAUGAGCCGAUGUCGGAUUAGCUAGUUGGCGGGGUAAAGGCCCACCAAGGCGACGAUCCGUAGCUGGUCUGAGAGGAUGAUCAGCCACACUGGAACUGAGACACGGUCCAGACUCCUACGGGAGGCAGCAGUGGGGAAUAUUGGACAAUGGGCGCAAGCCUGAUCCAGCCAUACCGCGUGGGUGAAGAAGGCCUUCGGGUUGUAAAGCCCUUUUGUUGGGAAAGAAAAGCAGCAGGUUAAUACCCCGCUGUUCUGACGGUACCCAAAGAAUAAGCACCGGCUAGCUUCGUG
rnacentral:rRNA from 1 species